GACGAACGCUGGCGGCGUGCUUAGCACAUGCAAGUCGAACGGAAAGGCCCUGCUUUUGUGGGGUGCUCGAGUGGCGAACGGGUGAGUAACACGUGAGUAACCUGCCCUUGACUUUGGGAUAACUUCAGGAAACUGGGGCUAAUACCGGAUAGGAGCUCCUGCUGCAUGGUGGGGGUUGGAAAGUUUCGGCGGUUGGGGAUGGACUCGCGGCUUAUCAGCUUGUUGGUGGGGUAGUGGCUUACCAAGGCUUUGACGGGUAGCCGGCCUGAGAGGGUGACCGGCCACAUUGGGACUGAGAUACGGCCCAGACUCCUACGGGAGGCAGCAGUGGGGAAUAUUGCACAAUGGGCGGAAGCCUGAUGCAGCAACGCCGCGUGCGGGAUGACGGCCUUCGGGUUGUAAACCGCUUUCGCCUGUGACGAAGCGCGAGUGACGGUAAUGGGUAAAGAAGCACCGGCUAACUACGUG
rnacentral:rRNA from 1 species